CCAGACUCCUACGGGAGGCAGCAGUGGGGAAUAUUGUGCAAUGGGCGAAAGCCUGACCCAGCAACGCCGCGUGAAGGAAGAAGGCUUUCGGGUUGUAAACUUCUUUUGACAGGGAAGAGCAGAAGACGGUACCUGUCGAAUAAGCCACGGCUAACUACGUGCCAGCAGCCGCGGUAAUACGUAGGUGGCAAGCGUUGUCCGGAUUUACUGGGUGUAAAGGGCGUGUAGGCGGGAGCGCAAGUCAGAUGUGAAAACUCAGGGCUCAACCCUGAGCCUGCAUUUGAAACUGUUUCCCUUGAGUGUCGGAGAGGUAAUCGGAAUUCCUUGUGUAGCGGUGAAAUGCGUAGAUAUAAGGAAGAACACCAGUGGCGAAGGCGGAUUACUGGACGAUAACUGACGGUGAGGCGCGAAAGCGUGGGGAGCAAACAGGAUUAGAUACCCGAGUAAGC
rnacentral:rRNA from 1 species